AGAGUUUGAUCCUGGCUCAGGACAAACGCUGGCGGCGUGCCUAAUGCAUGCAAGUCGGACGGGCUCUUUUCGGAGGGUCAGUGGCGAACGGGUGAGUAACGCGUGGGUGACCUGUCCAGAAGUGGGGGAUAACCUCUCGAAAGGGGGGCUAAUACCGCAUGUGCUGCCCUGUUUUGGUGGGGCAGCAAAGCCUUCGGGUGUUUCUGGAGGGGCCUGCGUCCGAUUAGCUAGUUGGUGGGGUAAAGGCCUACCAAGGCGAUGAUCGGUAGCCGGUCUGAGAGGAUGGUCGGCCACACUGGGACUGAGACACGGCCCAGACUCCUACGGGAGGCAGCAGCAAGGGAUAUUGCGCAAUGGGCGAAAGCCUGACGCAGCGACGCCGCGUGGGUGAAGAAGGCCUUCGGGUCGUAAAGCCCUUUUGCCAGGGAAGAGUGAGGACGGUACCUGGCGAAUAAGCCCCGGCUAACUACGUGCCAGCCGCCGCGGUAAUAC
rnacentral:rRNA from 1 species